AACGGUCUUCUCAAUACACAAAUGUAUAACUCCCCAGGAAUUUCAAUUGUGCUUAUAUCCAUCACUGUAGGACUUGGAUUUAAGCUUUCCCCAGCCCCUUUUCAUUAAUGGACUCCUGACGUCUACGAAGGAGUGUGGUUCGUUCGAAAUUCCUACCUCUAUAUCUAUCUCUGAGGUGUUUGGGUUUUGCAAAACUCCAUAGACAUGCAGAAGAGAAAUGCUAUCCCCACUCCGACCAAGAUAGAACUUUUACCAAAAGUUUAUUGUGAUCUUUUUGUUCAAAUAAAAAUUAAGGUGAAGCAGGGUCAGGAACAAUGAAUCUGUUUAUGA
rnacentral:rRNA from 1 species